rnacentral:lncRNA from 1 species
AUAACUCCUAAAAACUUUUUAAUUGAAGUAAGCAUAACAUUAGAUUUUUAUUAUAUAAAGUGAUCAAACAAUUGUUUACUUGUUGUAUAAAAAGGUAGAAAAAAAUGGCUGAAACUUUCAAGAUUGUUUACACUAUGAUCCUUUUAGUGUCUCUAUUUUUUCUUUUAGUUGCCGUUGAUGUUGAUGGUAAGUUCAUUCUCAUAUUUUCACGUUAUACAAAAUCUUUCACAAUUUUUCACUAACAUUUCUUUAUUCUUACUUUACAUUAUAGCAUAUAAGUGUAAGUCAGACGAUGAUUGUCAAAAAUAUAAGUGUCCCCCUCUUAAAAUCAUGUAUUGCGAUGAAGGUUAUUGUAAAUGUUCAAGGUAACAGUUAAAUUAAAACAUAUAUUUCUAUUAUAUAUGUUAAAGCCUUUAAUUUUCAUUGUUCAUCGUAAUGUUGUUUAUCUUAUAUAUGAUUUCUCUCACACUUUCAUAUAUUUCUUUCAAACUUUCAAUUUCUUUAGUAGUUUCUUAAUCAUGUAAAAAAAUUAUUAUGACUUAGGUGUUCGAUAUAUCAUCUAAGAAACUUAGGAGCGAGGAAAUUUAAAUUUCAUGGGAUGAGAGUAAUUUACUGACUUUUACUUGAUAGUAUCGUCUUUGUGAGAGUGCAUGUACAUAUGAAUACAUAUAAUCUAGAAGGGUGUUGCCCUUUGCAUAUAUAUGAUAUUGAGCAUAACCUCUCAAUCAAAGUUUUCCUACAUUAUCUGGGCACCGCCUGAAUUUCAAGGAGUGCAUUUUGAGCAUUGAAAGAUCAUCCAUUUAUAUUGUGUGAUAUUAUAUUGUCGUGAUGUUUGCAAUCAUGCUUUAUAAGAUUCAUGGAUGCAUGUUCAUCUAUUUUUGACUUAUUCAUUUUAUAUGAUGUAAGAUCUACUUACGUCUUCUUUGUGUCUACCCUUAUUAUAUAUUUGUAUGCAGGCCACAUUAAAAUGGGUUAUGACAAGAAAUCAAUGGAGCUUAUCUUGUGAAUGUGGAGUACUAGAGGCUUGUGGCUAGCUUUAUUUUGAGUUUUUUCAAUAUUGUUUUUAUAUUAUUUUAUGAGUGGAGAUCUGUUUACUUCAACUGUAAUUUUAAAUCUAAUUAUUACAUUUAAAACUAAAUACUAAUAAGUACUUAAAUUUUAUUUUUAAUUA